AAUAUUUGCUAAUAAUUGGGUGCCCUUAACUAUAGUUAAGGGAGAAUAGGGAAUCAGGUGAAAAACCUGAGCGGGCCCGCCACUGUAACUGUUUAAAUAAUCAUCUAAGUGAUUAUUUGCAAAGACUUUUUUAACCACUUGUUAAUUUUAAUUAACAGGGAAGGUAUAAGUCUUUUUGAGCAGAAGCCAGGAGACCUGCCGAAUUAUUUUAUACUGU
rnacentral:ncRNA from 1 species